ensembl:lncRNA
UGGAGAUAAGGGGGGACUAUGUGGUUGUUACUCCUUAUCUCAGUGGAGUUUCACAACCAGGAGACGUAGGCAGGGCAAAUGUUACUACCCCUGCUUUACAGACGAGCGGCUCUGAGAUGGAAGGCCUGGCUCAAGGUCACCCAGACUUAAGGUGAAGUUGAGUCGACCUGACCGCACCCAGUCUGGUGCCCCACCCGCCAAGGGUCAGAUGCGAAGGGCCAGACGGGCACCAGGGGGCGUGCGGGACCGGUGACGUCACUGCCCUCCCCUCCCCCUCGCCCGGGGGUUGGGGGAGGCUGAGCAGAUCCCUGGCUCCCGUCGUUCCAGCCCCCGCGCCCCGCCCGGGCCAGCCCUGCGGUUCUCGGCUGUCCCAAGAGAGGUGGGGAUCGGCAGCGACCCCAGAGAGGACGGCAGCUGAAUACACUGAUGCUUCGUACGCAAACGUCACCCGGAAGGAAGAUGACUAGCACAAGCCAUGGCCGAGUCAGGGAUACCUGGCCGAUUCUUAACGCUCAGCCCUUCCCCCUUACAGGAAGCAAAGCGCUAGGAGGAGCGUUGAGGCCGGAAAGAGGCGGCCUGCCUCCCACAGGUGGUGUUGCCUGCAGAGCGCCUACUUGUGGUCGGAAGCCACCACUGCAGUCGGGCAGGCCGCCGACCUGGGAGCUGCUUUAAGCCCCACCCCUCCCCGUUUUCAGGCGAAGACACUGAGGGCAGAAUGGAAAUGAGGCUGCAAAUUUGGGGUCAUUUGCAUUAGAAAACAUUUUUGGAAAAAAUAUCCUACUAAUUUUCUUGGACAUCAAUUUAAGUACAGGAAGAAGGAAAGUGACUUUUUUUUUUUUGAGGAAGAUUAGCCCUCAGCUAACUACUGCCAGUCCUCCUCUUGCUGCUGAGGAAGCCUGGCUCUAAGCUAACAUCCGUGCCCAUCUUCCUCUAGUUUAUACGUGGGACGCCUACCACAGCAUGGCUGCCAAGCAGUGCCAUGUCCGCACCCGGGAUCCGAACCAGCGAACCCCGGGCCUCCGAGAAGCGGAACGUGCGAACUUAACCGCUGCGCCACCGGGCCGGCCCCCAGAAAGUGACUUUUAAUCGAAAUGUUUUAUCUCCUUCAAAUCAUUGCUGGGAUGGAGAGAAACUUAUUAACACCCAUCUUUGUCCCCUGGGCACAGGCAGUGAAAUGAGUGUUACUACACAGCUAGGGUUAGGCAGGGGAAGCCUGCUGGGAGGGACAAGCAGAUGCAAUGAAGCAACCAUUUUUUCAGUACCUCUGGGAGCCACGUACAGCACUUGCAGCUUAAAGAGUAAAAACAGGAACAGAAUGUAGACUCUAACCUGAAAAACAUGAGUCUGUCUGCUGGCUGGAGUAAAGAGCAUGAUAGAAGAAAAGUCACAAAGUUACAAAAGUUCUGAGGUGCAGAGGGGGAAGGAAUUGCAUAAACCGCCUGUUGCUGUUGGUGGCAGAGGAUCAAGAAAUGCUUGGCAGGCUCCAGGGUGAGAGACCAGCGUAUCACUACAUUUGUUUUCAGAUUAUUCUGUGGCCACAAGUGGGAUGGGUUGGAGGAAACCUGGGCGAGAGUCCUGGAAGGCCAGGCAGGAGGCGGUGAAAGGACCCAGAGAAGAAACACAGGGUCCCUGAAAUGUUGUUGGUGCUGAAGAGCCCGAUAGGACUCUCAGGUUUGGGUACAAUGGGGAAGUUGGGAAGAGAAAGCGCAUGUUUAUCUCGGCCUCAUCACCAAAGGGUAAUGCAAAGACUGAAGAAUACUCUCCAGGGAACCCCUCGCUUGACAAGAAAGGAAUACUUUGUUUUCCACCAACCUGAGAUAUGUAUCCUGGUUUGACAUGUACCCCUGGAGUAUGUGGACUCCAGUUACCCAUGCAGUGACAUACUUAACUACCCCAACAGGGCUUCAGAACUCACCAAAGAGCUUACAAAACAGCCCUUAGUGAGGCCUGAAGCCUUCAAUUAAAUUAAACUGUGAGAAGUGAAGCCCUGAUACAGUACCAACUCUGAGCAAUCUGCUGGUCAGGGGUCAGUGAGCAGUCUGGGCUGUGCUGUGCGCCCUUUUGGGAGGAGUCUGAGACACAUGCCAAAGGCCAGGGUCAGGGAGGGAAGGCAGUUCACCGUGGCCAGAGC